AGGAAUGCUUCCACAAUGGACGCAAGUCUGAUGGAGCAACGCCGCGUGAGUGAAGAAGGUUUUCGGACCGUAAAGCUCUGUUGUUGGUGAAGAAGGAUAGAGGUAGUAACUGGCCUUUAUUUGACGGUAAUCAACCAGAAAGUCACGGCUAACUACGUGCCAGCAGCCGCGGUAAUACGUAGGUGGCAAGCGUUGUCCGGAUUUAUUGGGCGUAAAGCGAGCGCAGGCGGAAGAAUAAGUCUGAUGUGAAAGCCCUCGGCUUAACCGAGGAAUUGCAUCGGAAACUGUUUUCUUGAGUGCAGAAGAGGAGAGUAGAACUCCAUGUGUAGCGGUGGAAUGCGUAGAUAUAUGGAAGAAUACCAGUGGCGAAGGCGGCUCUCUGGUCUGCAACUGACGCUGAGGCUCGAAAGCAUGGGUAGCGAACAGGAUUAGAUACCCUGGUAGUCCAUGCCGUAAACGAUGAGUGCUAAGUGUUGGGAGGCUUCCGCCUCUCAGUGCUGCAGCUAACGCAUUAAGCACUCCGCCUGGGGGAGUACGACCGCAAGGUUGAAAC
rnacentral:rRNA from 1 species